GACGAACGCUGGCGGCGUGCCUAAUACAUGCAAGUCGAGCGGAUCUUCAUUAGCUUGCUUUUGGAGAUCAGCGGCGGACGGGUGAGUAACACGUGGGCAACCUGCCUGUAAGACUGGGAUAACUUCGGGAAACCGGAGCUAAUACCGGAUAAUCCUUUUCCUCUCAUGAGGAAAAGCUGAAAGACGGUUUCGGCUGUCACUUACAGAUGGGCCCGCGGCGCAUUAGCUAGUUGGUGAGGUAACGGCUCACCAAGGCGACGAUGCGUAGCCGACCUGAGAGGGGGAUCGGCCACACUGGGACUGAGACACGGCCCAGACUCCUACGGGAGGCAGCAGUAGGGAAUCUUCCGCAAUGGACGAAAGUCUGACGGAGCAACGCCGCGUGAGCGAUGAAGACCUUCGGGUCGUAAAGCUCUGUUGUCAGGGAAGAACAAGUACCGGAGUAACUGCCGGUACCUUGACGGUACCUGACCAGAAAGCCACGGCUAACUACGUGCCAGCCGCCGCCGUAAAAC
rnacentral:rRNA from 1 species